ensembl:lncRNA
GGGCGGCCGCGCCGCCAUGUUGGGAAGGUCAGGCGAGGGGACGGCGGCGGAGCGCCGCAGGCAGCGGGGGUUUGAGCCGGGCCGGGUAGAGCUGCGGCACGGCGGGAACACGAGGCCCUCCGCCUUCUGCCGCCCCGAGGCUGAAAAGACGCACGGCGUGCUGCCUCCCGAAGCGGGGUGAGAGCCGGCCCCGGGCAGCAGCCGGGUGGGGGGAGAGGUGGAAGCGGGGCUGCACCGAGCACGAGGACCGCGGGGCACUCCGGGCAACGCUGCGGCUCCCUCAGCUCCGGGGGAGCGGAAGGGACAUUGGACUGGGAUGCGGUCAGUGCCUCGUGAGGGGAUAAGGCCGCGAGUUACAGCGCUGACAUGUGAAACUAAACACUGAUGUUGAAGAAGAGGAGCAACAUAGCAAAAAGCACAAGGUGCUGCCACACUGCCGACAAACAACCGCCGGAGCAGCCCCUUCAUGCCUUUGUGACCCGCUGCUGCUUCGCCCUCCUGUUCUCUUCCCCCGUUUCCUCUCCCAAGAGCAGAGCUCUUCUCUCGGAAUAACGGCAAUAAAUUUUGUCUCCGCUCUCAGUUUGGGAGAUGGGGAGUCGCCCUGUGUAAACACGGCCGUGCGCGGCGGUGCCUGCGGGAGAGCCUGGCUGAGAGCGCCCGGAGCUGGAAGGGCUCUUCCCGGCACUCCGGAGCUCGCAGCCUCGACUCACGUGCCGCCUGGCAGCCGGGCUGCGGGCUUCAGCCUUCCUUUGCACUCCCUGCUUGGCUGCGAGGAGGCUGAGGCAGUGUCCUUGGUGCUGGCUUGCUCCUGCCUGCCGACGCUCGCCGGGCUGCGGGAGUUCAAGCGGCAGCUACGAGCGCUCGCGCGUUCCCUCUCUGGCUGUUGAAACCAAUGCUGUGGUUAUGCAAGUGUUCCGGCUCUGCUUUGCUGACAGAGUUUGUCAGCCGUGGCCCAGGUAUUGCCAUACGGCAGCCGGUGAGAAACAGCGCCGGGAUUGUGCAAGGCCUGGCUGCUCAGCUCCGACGUCCCGUGCGUCCGGCAGUGGCGUGGGCCUCGUCCUCAGAAGCGCACAGCGUGAAUUAGACAGCAUAACACACGCUUGUUUACCAGCUUAAUUGCUCGAGUUUAAUUGCCUGGGAAGCUAUCCCAGACGCAGAGUGCGCUGAAGCCACAGUAUUCAGAUAAAAAUUAAUUUAAAUAAAUCUUAAAAAUGCUAGCGUGCUUGCUGGUAAGCCAGGAGUUGAUCGAAUGAUGUUUUGAAAAAUAGAUCUUCAACAAAUAAAAUUUGCCAAAAUCCACGGAGGAAAAAAAGUACUGAAAGAACGGUAUGCGUUACACAUUGCAGUCACAUUCCUACCACAUUCUAGGCCAAGCACCUUUGCAGAGGACGUCAGCUCCUCACUGCUAUCUUUCUGCAGUCCCUUUCCUCUUCAUGGUCUCUCCUCACCAGAUCUUGCAAGGACACUGGGAAAACAAAGGGCAAUUACAUGCCACAUUUUCCUGCCUUCUCUUCUCCAGCUCCUUUUGAUUUUAG